rnacentral:rRNA from 1 species
GAUGAACGCUGGCGGCGUGCCUAAUACAUGCAAGUCGAGCGAACAGACGAGGAGCUUGCUCCUCUGACGUUAGCGGCGGACGGGUGAGUAACACGUGGAUAACCUACCUAUAAGACUGGGAUAACUUCGGGAAACCGGAGCUAAUACCGGAUAAUAUAUUGAACCGCAUGGUUCAAUAGUGAAAGACGGUUUUGCUGUCACUUAUAGAUGGAUCCGCGCCGCAUUAGCUAGUUGGUAAGGUAACGGCUUACCAAGGCAACGAUGCGUAGCCGACCUGAGAGGGUGAUCGGCCACACUGGGACUGAGACACGGUCCAGACUCCUACGGGAGGCAGCAGUGGGGAAUCUUCCGCAAUGGGCGAAAGCCUGACGGAGCAACGCCGCGUGAGUGAUGAAGGUCUUCGGAUCGUAAAACUCUGUUAUUAGGGAAGAACAAAUGUGUAAGUAACUAUGCACGUCUUGACGGUACCUAAUCAGAAAGCCACGGCUAACUACGUG